UCAAUAAGCGGAGGAAAAGAAACUAACAAGGAUUCCCCUAGUAACGGCGAGUGAAGCGGGAAGAGCUCAAAUUUGUAAUCUGGCAGUCCUUUGGCUGUCCGAGUUGUAAUCUGGAGAAGUGUUUUCUGUGCCGGACCGUGUACAAGUCCCUUGGAACAGGGCGUCAUAGAGGGUGAGAAUCCCGUCUUUGACACGGACUCCCGGUGCUUUGUGAUGCGCUCUCGAAGAGUCGAGUUGUUUGGGAAUGCAGCUCAAAAUGGGUGGUAAAUUCCAUCUAAAGCUAAAUAUGGGCGAAAGACCGAUAGCGAACAAGUACCGUGAGGGAAAGAUGAAAAGCACUUUGGAAAGAGAGUUAAACAGUACGUGAAAUUGUUGAAAGGGAAACGCUUGAAGUCAGUCGCGUCUCCUGGGACUCAGCCCCGCUUUCCUUGCGGGGUGCAUUUCCUGGGACGACGGGCCAGCAUCGAUUUCAGUCGCUGGAGAAAGGCAAGGGGGAAUGUGGCACCAUUCUUGGUGUGUUAUAGCCCCCAGUCGUAUACAGCGACAGGGAUCGAGGAUCGCAGCACGCCUCUAAUGGCCGGGGUUCGCCCACGUCAACGUGCUUAGGAUGCUGGCGUAAUGGCUUUAA
rnacentral:rRNA from 1 species